GAUGAACGCUGGCGGCGUGCCUAAUACAUGCAAGUCGAGCGAACAGACGAGAGUGCUUGCACUCUCUGACGUUAGCGGCGGACGGGUGAGUAACACGUGGGUAACCUACCUAUAAGACUGGGAUAACUUCGGGAAACCGGAGCUAAUACCGGAUAAUAUUUAGCUUCGCAUGAAGCAAUAGUGAAAGACGGUUCUGCUGUCACUUAUAGAUGGACCCGCGGUGUAUUAGCUAGUUGGUGAGGUAACGGCUCACCAAGGCAACGAUACAUAGCCGACCUGAGAGGGUGAUCGGACACACUGGGACUGAGACACGGCCCAGACUCAUACGGGAGGCAGCAGUAGGGAAUCUUCCGCAAUGGACGAAAGUCUGACGGAGCAAUGCCGCGUGAGUGAAGAAGGUUUUCGGAUCGUAAAACUCUGUUGUAAGGGAAGAACAAGUACGUUAGUAACUGAACGUACCUUGACGGUACCUUACCAGAAAGCCACGGCUAACUACGUG
rnacentral:rRNA from 1 species